rnacentral:rRNA from 1 species
AAAUUGAAGAGUUUGAUCAUGGCUCAGAUUGAACGCUGGCGGCAGGCCUAACACAUGCAAGUCGAACGGUAACAGGAAGCAGCUUGCUGCUUUGCUGACGAGUGGCGGACGGGUGAGUAAUGUCUGGGAAACUGCCUGAUGGAGGGGGAUAACUACUGGAAACGGUAGCUAAUACCGCAUAACGUCGCAAGACCAAAGAGGGGGACCUUCGGGCCUCUUGCCAUCGGAUGUGCCCAGAUGGGAUUGGCUUGUUGGUGGGGUAACGGCUCACCAAGGCGACGAUCCCUAGCUGGUCUGAGAGGAUGACCAGCCACACUGGAACUGAGACACGGUCCAGACUCCUACGGGAGGCAGCAGUGGGGAAUAUUGCACAAUGGGCGCAAGCCUGAUGCAGCCAUGCCGCGUGUAUGAAGAAGGCCUUCGGGUUGUAAAGUACUUUCAGCGGGGAGGAAGGGAGUAAAGUUAAUACCUUU